CCUACGGGUGGCAGCAGUGAGGAAUAUUGGUCAAUGGGCGGGAGCCUGCACCAGCCAAGUCGCGUGAGGGACGACGGUCCUAUGGAUUGUAAACCUCUUUUGUCGGGGAACAAAGGCGCCCACGGGUGGGCGGAUGAGUGUACCCGAAGAAAAAGCAUCGGCUAACUCCGUGCCAGCAGCCGCGGUAAUACGGAAGGUCCGGGCGUUAUCCGGAUUUAUUGGGUUUAAAGGGAGCGUAGGCCGCAUGUCAAGCGUGAUGUGAAAUGUCCGGGCUCAACCCGGGCCUUGCAGCGCGAACUGGCGUGCUUGAGUCCGCGGAAAGCAGGCGGAAUUCGUCGUGUAGCGGUGAAAUGCUUAGAUAUGACGAAGAACCCCGAUUGCGAAGGCAGCUUGCUGCAGCGGAACUGACGCUGAUGCUCGAAAGCGCGGGUAUCGAACAGGAUUAGAUACCCGGGUAGUC
rnacentral:rRNA from 1 species